UACGUAGGGUGCAAGCAUUAUCCGGAAUUAUUGGGCGUAAAGCGUUUGUAGGCGGUAAGUUAAGUAGGAGGUUAAAUCUCUGGGCCCAACCCAGAAACCAUCUCCUAAACUGGCUGACUAGAGGUAUGUAGAGGCAAGUGGAAUUUCCGGUGUAGGGGUAAAAUCCGUUGAGAUCGGAAGGAACGCCAAAAGCGAAGGCAGCUUGCUGGACAUACCUGACGCUGAGAAACGAAAGCGUGGGGAGCAAACAGG
rnacentral:rRNA from 1 species